rfam:Microgenomates (Roizmanbacteria) bacterium GW2011_GWC2_41_7 TT78_C0050, whole genome shotgun sequence.
GCCAGGGUGCUGAAACUGGUAGACAGGCGAGUCUCAAAAACUCGUGGUGUUAACGCACCGUGUGGGUUCGAUUCCCACCCCUGGCA